rnacentral:rRNA from 1 species
AGCAGUCGCCGCGGGAAUACAGAGGGUGCGAGCGUUAAUCGGAUUUACUGGGCGUAAAGCGUGCGUAGGCGGCUUCUUAAGUCGGAUGUGAAAUCCCUGAGCUUAACUUAGGAAUUGCAUUCGAUACUGGGAAGCUAGAGUAUGGGAGAGGAUGGUAGAAUUCCAGGUGUAGCGGUGAAAUGCGUAGAGAUCUGGAGGAAUACCGAUGGCGAAGGCAGCCAUCUGGCCUUAUACUGACGCUGAGGUACGAAAGCAUGGGGAGCAAACAGGAUUAGAUACCCCAGUAGUCCCUGUCUCUUAUAA